ensembl:rRNA 5S_rRNA 5S ribosomal RNA
GUCUACGGCCAUACCACCCUGAACACACCCGAUCUCAUCUGAUCUCAGAAGCUAAGCAGGGUCGGGCCUGGUUAGUACUUGGAUGGGAGAAUACGAUCUUUCUUUUUGAAAGUAAUUAAAUAUAUAUC